AGAAAAGAAAGAAAACAUGAGAAGGUGAGAGAAGAUGUUUCUCCACAAGGGCUUCACUUUUUGAGCUUUUGGGAAGAUAUUUGAGCUAGCCACACACUUGGAUUAAAUAUUGCUACAUGAGUGGACCUUGUGGAGCACAUAUUCAACUAUUGUAACCUUUUUGUGACAAAGGGUUGAGGUAAGGGCUUGGAUAAGGCCAAAGGAAAGAAAGACUUAGCUGGGAUUUGAAGAGCAUGUGUUUGUAUAGCUCUCCCCCUUCUUUUUGGUUUUGUAAUGAAUAUUUUAGGAAUCUUAUGCCAACUUAGGAUCAUGUAUUAUUUUAAAGUCACUUGCAUGAGAAAAUAUGUAAUUAUGGAUAUCUCAACUUUAGAUGAUGUAAUUGUGAUGAAAUUGAUGUGAGAGGUCAAGAUAUUAGUAUAAGUGAUGUUUUGUGUUGAUCAUGUGGUGGAAUGGCUAUGUGAAUGCUUAAAUGUAUUCAGUUGUUACCCCUUGAAUCCAUUAUGAAAUUGGAAUU